GCAUAUCAAUAAGCGGAGGAAAAGAAACUAACAAGGAUUCCCCUAGUAACUGCGAGUGAAGCGGGAAAAGCUCAAAUUUAAAAUCUGACGGUCUUUAUGGCCUUCCGAGUUGUAAUCUAGAGAAGUGCUAUCCGCGCUGGACCGUGUACAAGUCUCCUG
rnacentral:rRNA from 1 species